UACGAAGGGGGCUAGCGUUGCUCGGAAUCACUGGGCGUAAAGGGUGCGUAGGCGGGUCUUUAAGUCAGGGGUGAAAUCCUGGAGCUCAACUCCAGAACUGCCUUUGAUACUGAGGAUCUUGAGUAUGGGAGAGGUGAGUGGAACUGCGAGUGUAGAGGUGAAAUUCGUAGAUAUUCGCAAGAACACCAGUGGCGAAGGCGGCAACCUGGUCCUUGACUGACGCUGAGGCGCGAAAGCGUGGGGAGCAAACAGGGAUUAAGAAAACCCCUAG
rnacentral:rRNA from 1 species